rnacentral:rRNA from 1 species
AUUGAACGCUGGCGGCAGGCCUAACACAUGCAAGUCGAGCGGAUGAGAGGAGCUUGCUUCUCGAUUCAGCGGCGGACGGGUGAGUAAUGCCUAGGAAUCUGCCUGGUAGUGGGGGACAACGUUUCGAAAGGAACGCUAAUACCGCAUACGUCCUACGGGAGAAAGCAGGGGACCUUCGGGCCUUGCGCUAUCAGAUGAGCCUAGGUCGGAUUAGCUAGUUGGUGAGGUGAUGGCUCACCAAGGCGACGAUCCGUAACUGGUCUGAGAGGAUGAUCAGUCACACUGGAACUGAGAAACGGUCCAGACUCCUACGGGAGGCAGCAGUGGGGAAUAUUGGACAAUGGGCGAAAGCCUGAUCCAGCCAUGCCGCGUGUGUGAAGAAGGUCUUCGGAUUGUAAAGCACUUUAAGUUGGGAGGAAGGGUUGUAGAUUAAUACUCUGCAAUUUUGACGUUACCGACAGAAUAAGCACCGGCUAACUCUGUGCCAGCAGCCGCCGUAAUAC